rnacentral:rRNA from 1 species
CGUAGGAGGCAAGCGUUAUCCGGAUUCACUGGGCGUAAAGCGCGUGCAGGCGGUGCGGUAAGUUAGGCGUGAAAUCUCCCGGCUCAACUGGGAGAGGUCGUCUAAUACUACCGUACUAGAGAGCAGAAGAGGAAGAUGGAAUUCCCGGUGUAGUGGUGAAAUGCGUAGAUAUCGGGAGGAACACCAGUGGCGAAGGCGAUCUUCUGGUCUGUUUCUGACGCUCAGACGCGACAGCUAGGGUAGUAAACGGGAUUAGAGACCCCGGUAAUCCUAGCCGUAAACGAUGUGAACUUGGCGUUGGUGGGUUAAACUCCAUCAGUGCCGCAGUAAACGCGAUAAGUUCACCGCCUGGGGACUACGGCCGCAAGGUUA